rnacentral:rRNA from 1 species
UACAGAGGUCUCAAGCGUUGUUCGGAUUCAUUGGGCGUAAAGAGCUCGUAGGCGGUUUGUCGCGUCUGCUGUGAAAACCCGAGGCUCAACCUCGGGCCUGCAGUGGGUACGGGCAGACUAGAGUGCGGUAGGGGAGAUUGGAAUUCCUGGUGUAGCGGUGGAAUGCGCAGAUAUCAGGAGGAACACCGAUGGCGAAGGCAGGUCUCUGGGCCAUAACUGACGCUGAGAAGCGAAAGCAUGGGGAGCGAACAGG